rnacentral:rRNA from 1 species
UGCCAGCAGCCGCGGUAAUACGGAGGGGGCAAGCGUUGUUCGGAAUUACUGGGCGUAAAGGGCGUGUAGGCGGCCAAGUCAGUCAGGCGUGAAAGCCCGGGGCUCAACCCCGGAAUAGCGCUUGAUACUGCGGGGCUAGAGACCGGAAGAGGGUAGUGGAAUUCCCAGUGUAGAGGUGAAAUUCGUAGAUAUUGGGAAGAACACCAGUGGCGAAGGCGGCUCACUGGCUCGGAUCUGACGCUGAGGUGCGAAAGCGUGGGGAGCAAACAGGAUUAGAUA